GUGUGUUGGUUGGUGCUUGAUGUUUGUGGUGGGCAGCCAAAAGUAGACGGCAGGAGAGGAAGGGGAAUGAGGAAGCAGACCUGAAAGGGAGCAAGAGUGGCUUGGUGGCCAAAGACUUACAAAGAACUGCAUUGCCUAGAGAUCCAAGGAAAAUCAGAAAUUAAAUACUAGUGCCAGCUCUAGUGAGUUCUUUCCCUGCAGGACACCCAGCUCCUCAAUAUUACCUGCUCAUCCUCAGGAGUACAGGCACAUUUGCAAACUGGAGAAGCUGUCAUGGGCACCACACAUGCUACAACCUGUUCUAUUGGCUACAUCAAAAGGCCUCUUUCAAGUCUCGCUUCAGUGGGAGAAGGAAACCUGCAGCCGCCAUAGACUCAUGUGCUUGUUGGUACUUCAAGAAACUUAUACAAACAUCUUUUGCCUAUAAUAGUGAAAUCCCCUCCAUGUCAAUUGGAAGCAGAUGCUGGGAGUUGUUUAAUAUGAUCUGGGGAGCAAAGUUAGAAGAAUGCUCUUCACAUACAAAGCACUUAAGGUUAUGUACCUCUUCAAACUUAAGUUUCACAUCUUCAGAGCCAGGAAAACCACCACCAAUGUCAAGCAGGUACAUGUUGAAACCAAGCUCAACCUAAAAGGCAGAAAUAUUGAAAUGUGAUUGAAAUCAUACUUUUAUUGAUAGUAUUGAUCAGUUUCACCAUCUGAACUAAUGAAGCAAACAAGAAUUUUAACUAAUCUGAAUUAGCAUCUUAGACCAACAGCACAAAAAUGUAGGUUUCCCAAGUUUACUUUAAAUAUUUUGUAUUUCAGACACAUUCUGGCAAUCUCACAGUACUAUGACUCGUUAGUGCUAUAGGAAAUGCUCUUAAAAUGUACUUACUCCCAUAUCAAAGACACAACGGGCAUCAGAAAUAGCUUGCACAAACGUCUCAGGAUCUGUACAGCCACUUCCAACAUGGAAACUAGAAAAGAUGGGUUGAGUUAUUGGGAGUUUUGCUCAUCCUUCUUAACAAAAGCAGAAUUUGUAAGUAGCAAGUGUGCAAUUUCUUCCACACAACCCGGCUGCUCACCUCACUCCAAUUAUGUCGAUAUCAAGUUCUUUUGCUCGUUCAAGGAGCAACCUGCUGGUUUUUAGUGUAGCUCCAAACUUAACACUUAGGCGACAAACAGCCUUUGAAUCAUCUGUUGCAAUGCGCAAGACCAGCCUAGAAAACAUUUUAGAACACAUAAGCACAUGCACAUGUAUUUCAGAACACACAUUUGUAGUUGCUCUGAGAAAAAGUAGCUUAAUAGUUGAGGGUGGGGAGCUACCUUUAUUCUGUCAAAAACAGCAAUGCCACCUGUUUUUUGCACAGAUCUGCCUAAAUGGUCACCGUCUGUUAUCUGGGGCCUCACAUUUACCUAGAGAGAACAUAUAGAUUGUACUAAAAUAAAUUGUAAAUGUUUCUUACUUUGCUUUUGGGUGGGCUCUUGCAACUUUCAUCAGCUCAACUUCACUAUCAAAUGUCAUCAUCUGCACACCAUUGUUUGCAGCAUGCUUAAUUUGAGAGACUUGCUUGCAUGGAUUUGCAUAUAUUAUACGCUCUGGAGGCACACCAACACUCUGGACCAGCUGUAUUUCAGUCUGGAAAAAAAUCCAUUUUUUUAGUUUGCACAUUAGUUACUAGAAAUGGUUUCUCUGGAAAUAAGACAAUUUAAAUCAAAGGCAGACAUAUUUUCAUUUCUAAUACACAGUAUUUAAUCAAAACAUUUAAAAGCAGUCACUUACUUUACUGGCACAAUCAAAUCCUGCCCCAAGAGCAGCCAGAGUUUUCACUAGAGCUAUGCUAUCAUUACAUUUGACGGCAUAGAAAGGAGAUACCCUAGGGAGGGCCUUGUACCACCGCAAAUGUUUUUUGAGAACAUCCCCAAGGUCAGCAACAUAGAAUGCAUCUUUAUCAUCCUGGAAACAAAGAAAACAUUCAUCUGUCAAUAUGCAGUUGCCUACUAGUGUAUAUUACAAUAGCAACAACCCUACGUUUAGUAUAAAACAUUUUAAAAAAAAUAUUCAGUCUAUCUACCAUACUCACCGAGGAAGAAACUUCAUUUAUUUUUUGGUCUAGGAUAUCCUUUGCAGUAAAGCCUUCGUCAAGGAAAGAAAAAUUGAAUUCCUCACCACAGAAGUCAUUCAUCUUGCUUGAUGUUGUUAUACCAAAGUGAUUUUCAGUGAAAAACUGCAAAGACACAGGAAAGAGUUUAUUAGUUCUCCCACCCGUCACAGUGAGACAAGGGGAAUGGAAAAUACAGUGGUACGUCGGGUUAAUAACUUAAUUCAUUUUGGAGGUCCAUUCUUAACCUCAGGUACCACUUAAUUUGUUCUAGAGGUCCGUUCUUAACCUGAAACUGUUCUUAACCUGAGGUACCACUUUAGCAAGUGGGGCUCCCCGCUGUCACCGCGCGAUUUCUGUUCUUAUCCUGAAGCAUGGUUCUUAACCCGAGGUACUAUUUCUGGGUUAGCGGAGUCUUAACCUGAAGCACCUGUAACCCGAGGUACCACGGUACAGCAACUUAAAAAGCCAUCUCUCACAGUUCAAGGUGCAAUUUUGAAGGCAACUACUUUUAGUUGUGCUCCAAGGAAGUCUCUCCAGGAAAGAAAGAUCCUGAAACAGGAAAGUAACCUUUAUGCUCCCUAAGCAAUUUUCAUAUCAGUUACAUGAACUGUUCUGGAUUAUAAAAGGCUUUUAGGCAUCAACAUUUAUGCCAAAAUGUGUCUUUUAAAGAAAUUGGACCUAGGAGCUUCCUGAGUAAACCAGUACCAAAAGACAAACAAACUUUCUUGCAGUGAACAUUGAGAUUACAAGAGGCAAACAAUAGGAAGACAGAGCUUCCUGUGUUUGUUUCUGUUUUACUCAUAAAAGAAGAAAUCUGUCUACAGGUGCAUGUAGUUGCUACAAUUUAAGUGUCCAUUUUCUUCCACAGCUUUCCGAAAACUCAAGUUCUCCGUGGAGUUUAAUUAAGCUACUACAAAAAGUCAAUUGCUGAGGGAGGAUCUACAAUUCUGAAAAACAGCAUAAAAAUAAUUUAAACAGAGCAAAAUGUACAGGCCUGAAAUUUAACUCAAAUUUCAAUUUAUUAUCAAGGAACAACAAGAUGGAUGCCAUUAAAAUGACUAAUUGUGUUUGAAUUCCUAAUUUGCAUUCAGUUCAGUCUACUUUCCAUCUCUGAAAUCACCAUUAAAAGAUUGGGAGGGAAAGAACAGAUGAGAAAAUGUCUGAGAUGUCACUAAUGUGGUACAUUACAGCCUGCACAAAUGCUUUUAGAACACAAGAUUCUAAAAUACACUGUGCUUUUCCAAUG